rnacentral:rRNA from 1 species
AUACGGAGGGUCCAAGCGUUAUCCGGAAUCAUUGGGUUUAAAGGGUUCGCAGGCGGUUCUUUAAGUCAGUGGUGAAAGCCCAUAGCUCAACUAUGGAACUGCCAUUGAUACUGAAGGACUUGAAUUUAGUUGGAGUAGGCGGAAUGUGUGGUGUAGCGGUGAAAUGCUUAGAUAUUACACAGAACACCGAUAGCGAAGGCAGCUUACUAAACUUGGAUUGACGCUCAUGAACGAAAGCGUGGGGAGCGAACAGGAUUAGAAACCCUAGUAGUCC